AACGAACGCUGGCGGCAGGCUUAACACAUGCAAGUCGAGCGCCCCGCAAGGGGAGCGGCAGACGGGUGAGUAACGCGUGGGAAUCUACCGAGCCCUGCGGAAUAGCUCCGGGAAACUGGAAUUAAUACAGCAUACGCCCUACGGGGGAAAGAUUUAUCGGGGUUUGAUGAGCCCGCGUUGGAUUAGCUAGUUGGUGGGGUAAAGGCCUACCAAGGCGACGAUCGGUAGCUGGUCUGAGAGGAUGAUCAGCCACACUGGGACUGAGACACGGCCCAGACUCCUACGGGAGGCAGCAGUGGGGAAUAUUGGACAAUGGGGGCAACCCUGAUCCAGCCAUGCCGCGUGAGUGAUGAAGGCCUUAGGGUUGUAAAGCUCUUUCGGCGGGGACGAUAAUGACGGUACCCGCAGAAGAAGCCCCGGCUAACUUCGUGCCAGCCGCCGCGGUAA
rnacentral:rRNA from 1 species